rnacentral:lncRNA from 1 species
GACCACAAAAGUAAGGUUGGGAUUGAUUUUGGGAGUUUUGGUCCCAACAUUUUAGGAAUAAGGGGCCAAAAAGGGCCCAAAUAAGCAUUUUCUUGGUUUUCGCACUAUAACUUUAGUUUAAGUUAAUAGAAAUCUAUGAAAUUUUGACACAAGGUUUAUGACCACAAAAGAAAGGUUGGGAUUGAUUUUGGGAGUUUUGGUUCCAACAGUUUAGGAAUUAGGGGCAAAAAAAGGGCCCAAAUAAGCAUUAUUCUUGGUUUUCGCACAAUAACUUUAGUUUAAGUAAAUAGAAAUCUAUGAAAUUUAAACACAAGGUUUAUGACCAUAAAAGGAAGGUUGGUAUUGAUUUUGGGAGUUUUGGUCCCAACAGUUUAGGAAUAAAGGGC